AAAACUAUGUAAUUGAUCACACGGCUAACGAAACGAUGAAACCCGUGGCAAAAAACGAAAUGUAAUGAGAUUCGCAAGCCCGAGAAUCAUCAAAUCGGUGAACGCAGACAGCACCUUCUUCUCGGAGAAGGCGAUCUACUUGACAGCGCCAGUAUUUUUAUUUUGUUGCCGGC
rnacentral:rRNA from 1 species